rnacentral:lncRNA from 1 species
CUUCCCGUCUCUGCUGCUUCCUGCUGAGGUAAAGUGGCUCCCUUCUCCAAGACAUGCUCCUGCUCCAGUCGCUGCUUACUGUGGCCAGAACCACAGGAGCGGGAAGUCCGGCCUGAAUCCUCUGAAACCAUGAGCCAGAGCAGCCCUUCUUCUUUCACAGGACACAUGCCCAUCUCAUAGCCAGUCAAUGUGACCAAGAGCAUGGAAUGUGCUGAAUACCCAGGCCUGGUCAUCUGGUCACCCCUUGAGCAAGAGGCUGGACCCGUUACACCAAGCACAUGGACUGCAGGUGAGAGAAGAGUUGGGUCCCAGGGCAGAUGGGGUGGAGUGGAGGCCCACAGAGCAUGACACCCACUCAUCAAAGAGCCCAAGAGAGGCCUUCCUUGACAAGGGCUCCGGUGGCUGUGCCAUUUGCUGUAGCUUCUGCAUCUGGGUCCAUGCGGACACAGAUGGGGAAGUAAUAGGUGCUUCUGAGACAGGUUUCGAUGAUCUGGGUGAUUCUUCAGCAGACCUAGAGGUGGACAUCAGGAACACCUGGUCCAGACCGCCAUCCUUGCUCACUUGGAUCAUGGGACUCCUGACUUGUCUCCUCCCUCCAGUCCCACCCACCAUGGUCCACUGCUGCACCAGCAGCCAGGCUGUCAUGAACUGAGCGGCUCUGCUCCACCACACCCUUCCACCAUGAUGUUUCUGUCUUGGAGCAGCCAACCAUGGACUGAAUCCCCCAAACCGUGAGCCAAAUUAGACCUAUCUUUCUCUAAGUUGUGGGGGUCAGAUGUUGUGUCUCAGCAAUGUGAAAGCUGCUAAUACAAAACUCUUCCUCGAAGAAACAAACAGGUAUAAACACAGGUGAAUGAGGGUAUGAAUUUAGAAGUAGGUAACUAAGAGCAGAACUGCACUUUAGAGCUGAUUUCCCAGCUCUGGCUGCAGGCAGGAACUCCAGGCUUCCACCUCAGCCCCUCACUCAGAGCUUUGACCUGGGCCUGAGAUACAGACUUCAUACACCUGGUGGUUGGGGCUGAGUGCUUCUGCAUGUGCGGCCCCAGACUGUCAGCAUUGGCUUCACCUGCAGACGUCCAUGGUUCUCAGGCUGCACAGUAACCACGCGGUGCAGGAGGCACAGGUCCCAGGUGCUGCUGCUGCUGCCACAGACAGGGUUACACUCUGACCCUGGAGUCCUCUGCCUGCUGAUCCUCUGUGGAGAGAGGAGACCGGAGCUUGCUGGUCUCAGGUAGGAAGCCCUUGGCAGUGGCACUGAGCUGCCCUGUCAACUGUCCUUUCCCUUGAUUCCUGUGUCUGUAGAUGAGGUUCUGAGGCCUAGGAGGAGCACACUUUGCUCAAAUCCUGAGAUCCACCUUGGAAAAGCCACAUGGGCAGGGUGUCUCUUGAGCGUCGUGGUGUGCCAAGGGCUUCGGGCAGGCCUCUGCAGCCUAAGGUAGGGUCUCUGGAGAAAGGUGGGGCUCAGCAACAACCCACCUGGCCCAAGGCCAGCAAGGGCUAGCCAGGCACCCCGCCCCCUGCCCUCAUGGAGGAAGCAGCUCUUCUGUGCCUCCUGCGCCCUGGGAGAAGUGGCGAGGAGCAAGCCAGGCAAAGGAAGCCGCUGCUGGCACCCCGUCACCUCCACCCCUGGGAGCUUCCUGCCUGGGUGUACUGAGCUCCACACAGCCUCUCCUGCUGUCUCUGGAGAUGGUGGGAAGACAGUGGCUGGGACCAGCAGCCACUCCCCCUCCUCCACAGUGCCAUCCUCAGGAAACCAGGCUCAGCCUGGGCAGGGAGCUUGGAGUGGCCUGCACCGGCCAUGUGACUCUGUUCCCCUGGGAAGAUGGGGAGAACUGGCAUGGCAGUGACUC